ACUUUUAAUGGACAAAAGUGGUCCAA
rnacentral:tRNA from 2 species